GGAAGACUUCCAGGAGAGGGAACUUGAUGCUCUCUCUCUUCGCCUAUUGCCCUGAAGUCUUCUAACUCUCUCUUGCUUUUUCGAGACAGGGUCCCGCUAUGUAGUUCAGGUUGGCUUUGAAGUCACUAUUGGAGCCCCAGCUGGCCUUGAACGUGCAGCUAAUCUCCUACCUCAGCCUCCCUAGUGCUGGGAUUACAGGCAAUAGAACUGUUGGUGAUGCAGAAAGCAGCCGAGACCGGGAGGCCCAUGGGCACCCGGAAUCUGGAAAGAAUCAGGAGGGGACAGUGGAGUCAUGAUGAAGUGGCUGGUUUGCAGCUGUGAAAAUCAUGCCUGGAGAGACUGACGGAGUGAGAUUCCUCUGUCUGUGGUUCAAAGGAGAUGGCUGUGGGACGGAAGGUAAGAAGAAUUCCCACCCUCCCCAUGCAGGAGUCUGUGUGACCGCCAAAAAGCUGGGGAACGGUGGCUCGGCCCCACCCAGUGACACUGGCAUGCAUGCCCCGGUGUGGAAGUGACCACAGCUGCCAGGCUCUGAGUCAGCGGGCCUGGGGCAGCAGAAGAGAAGGAGCCUCUCGUGCUCACGUGGCUGGGCCGGCGCUGCCUCGUGCAUUCUCCUGUCUCUCAGCCUGCAGGAAGCAUAGAUGUUUGAAAGGACGAAUCACACAUGGCCUUGUCCUGGAGCCCGGCCAGGACCACUUCCUCAAAGGGAGGCAACCACGAUCCACCCAGUUGCAGUCCCCCUUGCUUCUCAAAAGAAGUGCACCUCUUCUUCCUUUUAGUUUCUGCUUUGCUGUUUGAGAAGUGGCUAGAUAUGCUUCUCAAGGAGCAGGUCAGGAACCCACAGCCUGGGGUGCAGAGCCCACCCACCUGCCCGCCCCACAACCAGAAGCACCUGGCCUGGGCUGGACCCAUGUGGCCCCAGCUUCUAUAACAGCAUCACUGACGGGUUCUGGCUGGUGUGCAUUGGUGAGGUCCUCGAGAGGGAGCCCCUGUCUGCAGAGCUGUGUAAACUGGCUGGAGGCUGGUGCUGAUGUCUGGGAGAAGCAGUCAAGCUGAUCAUCUGGCUGCCCUCAGCAACCCAGGAGCCUACUGGGCUUGUGAGAAUGGAACUCAAGGCCACAGUCGAGCAGUAUCAGUCCCACACAGGCUCAGGGGAGGGCACAGGGGAUCCACAUGCAAGUUCCAGGCUGCCUACCACUGUGGGGCACGCCCACCCCAUUUGGUGGGAGUGUGAGGAAGAGAGGACCACGGAGAAGAGCAGGCUGGGGGUGGUAUGCAGUGAUGACAGGGCCUCUGCCCACAGGUAGGGAGAGGGAGGGG
rnacentral:lncRNA from 1 species